UUUUAGACUGAAAGAGGUGAAGUUUUCUUUCUGUAGAUCCUCAAACUAACAUGUUUGUGUCCAUUUUCCAGCUGCUGACUGAUCCAUCACAGCCCGGAUUCUCCCUUCAAAGCUGCUGGUUCAACUCUGACUGAUGAAGAUGAGCUGCUCAGAGGAAGACGAGGACAAAGAUCAGUCUUCAGCACCCAGCUGUGUGUCUAUGAAGAGUGACAAACCCAAAGACAAACAUCUGGACUUUAGAACUGAACCUGGACCUUCAGAAUCAAAAGGUCAGCAGCUCAAGAGAGUCUAUAUUUCAGCCUUCAGCUGCAGUUCUGAGAAAAGUGAUCGAUCCAAACAAUGGACUCCAGACUACAGAACUGAACCUGGACCUUCAGCUUCAAAAGGUCAGCAGCUCAAGAGAGUCUAUUCUUCAGCCUUCAGCUGCAGAUCUGAGAAAAGUGACCGAUCCAAACAAUGGACUCCAGACUUCAGAACUGAACCUGGACUUCCAACCUCAAAAAGCAGAGCUGAACUGCAGACCGUCAGUCAGAACAGAACCGUCCAAAG